rnacentral:rRNA from 1 species
AGGGCACAUGGCGGAUGCCUUGGCUCUCGGAGGCGAUGAAGGACGUGAUAAGCUGCGAUAAGCUGCGGGUAGGUGCAAAUGACCUUUGAUCCGCGGAUUUCCGAAUGGGACAACCCGGUACUUUGAAGAAGUAUCAUCCUGCAUUGCAGGAGGCUAACGCAGGGAACUGAAACAUCUUAGUACCUGCAGGAAAAGAAAAUAAACAAUGAUUCCCCCAGUAGUGGCGAGCGAACGGGGAAUAGCCCAAACCAUCCAUGUUACGGCAUGGGUGGGGUUGUAGGACCACGCCGUGGCAAGAAAGUUGGUGAGCAGAAUGUUCUGGAAAGUACAGCCAUAGAGCAUGAGAGCUGCGUAUGCGAAGCCAAGCGAAGCCUAGUGGUAUCCUGAGUAGCGCGGAGCACGAGGAAUUCUGCGUGAAUCUGCCGGGACCAUCCGGUAAGGCUAAAUACUCCCGAGAGACCGAUAGUGAACCAGUACUGUGAAGGAAAGGUGAAAAGCACUUCGAACAGAAGAGUGAAAUAGUUCCUGAAACCAUGUGCCUACAAGCGGUCGGAGCACCUUCUGGUGUGACGGCGUGCCUUUUGCAUAAUGAACCUACGAGUUACUUUUUCCGGCGAGGUUAAGGAUUUCAGAUCUGCAGCCGAAGCGAAAGCGAGUCUGAACAGGGCGUAUAGUCGGAAGGAGUAGACGCGAAACCAAGUGAUCUACCCUUGGGCAGGUUGAAGGAUGGGUAACACCAUCUGGAGGACCGAACCAAUAAGCGUUGAAAAGCUUCUGGAUGACCUGAGGGUGGGGGUGAAAGGCUAAUCAAACUUGGAGAUAGCUCGUACUCCCCGAAAUGCAUUUAGGUGCAGCCUUGACUUAUACUGGCAUGAGGUAGAGCGACUGAUAAGAUGCGAGGGCUUCACCGCCUAUCAAGUCUUGACAAACUCCGAAUGCGUGUCAGUUCUAUGUCAGGAGUGAGGGCAUGGGUGCUAAGGUCCAUGUCCUAAAGGAGAACAAUCCGGACCAACAGCUAAGGUCCCGAAAUGAAUACUAAGUUGAACUAACGAAGUCAGAUUGCUAAGACAGCUAGGAUGUUGGCUUGGAAGCAGCCAUUCAUUUAAAGAGUGCGUAACAGCUCACUAGUCGAGGAGUUUGGCGUGGAUAAUAAUCGGGCAUAAGUAUUCUACCGAAGCUUUGGGAUGAGAAAUCAUCGGUAGGGGAGCAUUCCACUCGGCGUCGAAGGUGAAGCGCGAGCUUUGCUGGAGCGUGUGGAAAAGCAAAUGUAGGUAUAAGUAACGAUAAAGGGGGUGGGAAACCCCCUCGCCGAAAGACUAAGGUUUCCUGAUCAACGCUAAUCGGAUCAGGGUAAGUCGGGUCCUAAGGCUCAGCCGAACGGCGAGGCCGAUGGCAGAACCGGUUAAUAUUCCGGUACUACCUGUGGGAGUGACGUGGAGACGGAGUCGUGACAGCGCCGCGGACUGACGGAAUAGUCCGUUGAAGGGUGUAGAUGCUGAUUGUUCCAGGCAAAUCCGGAGCAAGAGUCGAACCUGAUAGUAUGGAGCGUUCUUAGAACAAUCCAAUAGUGCGUGUAAUCAUACUUCCAAGAAAAUCCGCUAAACUUAAUCCUGCAGGUACCCGUACCGCAAACGGACACACGUAGUCGGGUUGAAUAUACUAAGGCGCUUGAGUGAUUCACGGUUAAGGAACUAGGCAAACUGACCCUGUAACUUCGGGAUAAAGGGUCCUCGCUUUACGGCGAGGCGCAGAGAAUAGGUCCAGGCAACUGUUUAACAAAAACACAGGGCUGUGCAAAAUUGAAAGAUGAAGUAUACAGCCUGACACCUGCCCGGUGCUGGAAGGUUAAGAGGAGAUGUCAUCGCAAGAGAAGCAUUGAAUUGAAGCCCCAGUAAACGGCGGCCGUAACUAUAACGGUCCUAAGGUAGCGAAAUUCCUUGUCGGGUAAGUUCCGACCUGCACGAAUGGUGUAAUGAUCUGGACGCUGUCUCAACCGUGAGCUCAGUGAAAUUGUAGUAUCGGUGAAGAUGCCGAUUACCCGCGAUGGGACGAAAAGACCCCGUGAACCUUUACUAUAGCUUAACAUUGAAUUUGGGUAAUUGAUGUGUAGGAUAGGCCGGAG